AGAGUUUGAUCAUGGCUCAGAGCGAACGCUGGCGGCAGGCCUAACACAUGCAAGUCGAGCGCCCGUAGCAAUACGGGAGCGGCAGACGGGAGAGUAACACGUGGGAACGCGCCCUUCGGUUCGGAAUAACUCAGGGAAACUUGAGCUAAUACCGGAUACGCCCUUACGGGGAAAGAUUUAUUGCCGAAGGAACGGCCCGCGUCCGAUUAGCUAGUUGGUGAGGUAACGGCUCACCAAGGCGACGAUGCGUAGCCGACCUGAGAGGGCGACCGGCCACACUGGGACUGAGACACGGCCCAGACUCCUACGGGAGGCAGCAGUGGGGAAUAUUGCGCAAUGGGCGAAAGCCUGAUGCAGCGACGCCGCGUGAGGGAUGACUGCCUUCGGGUUGUAAACCUCUUUCAGCUCCGACGAAGCGAAAGUGACGGUAGGAGCAGAAGAAGCACCGGCCAACUACGUGCCAGCAGCCGCGGUAAUA
rnacentral:rRNA from 1 species